rnacentral:lncRNA from 1 species
UACUGGAGAGACUUAGCUUGUGUUGAAGUCUGAAUGGAAGCCAUUUAUGGAUAUGCAAAGAGGAAUGGAUAAUUGAUGAAGCAUGGUAACAAAGAUUAUUUUCAUCUGAGUACAAAGAUAAAGGUGGUUGCCAUAGCCAUUGGAGAUCACACCAUGACUUGCUUCCCGACCACCUGGAUUUUAUGUGAAGUCACAUGUUCUUAGAAAAACAGACUUUUAAGAC